UACACGAGCUCUUCCUUUCUUCUAGAGUAUGUGGUACUUGGGGAUGAUAAAGGAAACUAGAUAGUUAUAUGAGUGAAAAAAAAAUGGCUUCGAAUUUGGCAGUACAAUGAUUAAGUAUUCUUUCCUAUGUACAAGAAUAAAGUUAAAAA